rnacentral:lncRNA from 1 species
UAUAUAGAGGCUAUUUUUUUUUUACUUUUAUGGUUAAUUUCAUAAAGAUCUCUACAAAUAUAGUGAGUAGUAAAUAUAUUUUUGUAAAAUUUAAUUUUUAUAUGUUGUUUCUAUAAAAGUCCUGAUAUUUUCAAAUAUAUAUUUAUCGUCAAAAUUCGUUAGAAAACUAUAGUUAACCAUAAAUUAAAUACUUUACUCUGGUUAGUUUUUGACAUUUUUAUCUCUCUUAUAUUAUACUGUUAUGACUUUUGGAAAAAUAUAUUUGUGAUGAUAAAAUUAAAACCAUAAAUGGUUUUCUAACGGUAACAAAUCAGAGUGACAUAUUUGAAAAUAUUAAAAUUUUUACAGAGACAAAAUAUAAAAAUUAAAGUUUGUAAGAACAUAUUUAUCAUUUACUAUAUUUAUAAGGACUUGUAUGAAAUUAAUCCUUAUUUUUACAUGAGAUUAAAAAGAGCUU